GGCGAGAUGGCCGAGUGGUCUAAGGCGCCAGACUAAGGUUGUCAAGCCGACAUCUGGUCCUCACGGGCGUGGGUUCGAAUCCCACUCUCGUCA